rnacentral:rRNA from 1 species
UACGUAGGGGGCUAGCGUUGCUCGGAAUCACUGGGCGUAAAGGGUGCGUAGGCGGGACUUUAAGUCAGGGGUGAAAUCCUGGAGCUCAACUCCAGAACUGCCUUUGAUACUGAAGAUCUUGAGUGCGGGAGAGGUGAGUGGAACUGCGAGUGUAGAGGUGAAAUUCGUAGAUAUUCGCAAGAACACCAGUGGCGAAGGCGGCUCACUGGCCCGAUACUGACGCUGAGGCACGAAAGCGUGGGGAGCAAACAGG